rnacentral:lncRNA from 1 species
CUUGUCCCUACUGUCUAAAGGUACAAAUAUAUUUUGGUUGAAGCUGACUAUGCAACUCACUGAACUGUUCUUGUCCUGUUUCACUUCCAGGUUUCCUGGCUCAGAAAACACAUCCUGGAUUGUGUCUAUAUGGGGAUUGUAAAGUAGCAUCAUGUUCAUUGCAAAGGUCCUGCGCCAGCUGACAUAGACAUAGACAUCCCACAUGGGCUUGCAAUAUUAAUAUCAGUUGAGUAGGAAGCCCAUGAAAUUCCAGCAUGAUCUUCUUCUCAAGCACCAAGCAUGGUCAGAGAAGCAGUACUCAUCACCUGGAGUGAAGGCUGACAGGAAUGAACACAGGCAGGAAGCAGCGUGACACACACAUUGUCAUGCAUGACUGACCAGCAGCCAUCAACAGCAAUUAAACAUUGAGAGCUCUGGAUCUUUUUGGACAGGUUCAAGUUUCCUGGCACUGCUGUGAUUAGAUGUUUUGCAUUGUUUCCCUGUAGUCACUAUAUGACACAUUUCCUUUUGCUUGCUCUUUUCUGAUAUUUAUUUCUAUGCCAUCCCAGUAUUACAGCAGCCUCGUAGCAAAAUGUAGCACCUAAAAUGGGUUCAUUUUGAGUUAGAUUGAGGUGGAUUAAAAACCAAAGAGAAAAAAUGUUAAGAACAUUCAUUCAGAAAUCAGUAUUGAAAUAUAGUGUGUUGAAACCUUUUGAUAAACCUUAAUUAUAUAUAAGAUUCGCC